ACGUCUCAGUUCGGAUUGUAGUCUGCAACUCGACUACAUGAAGCUGGAAUCGCUAGUAAUCGCGGAUCAGCAUGCCGCGGUGAAUACGUUCCCGGGCCUUGUACACACCGCCCGUCACACCAUGGGAGUUUGUAACGCCCAAAGUCGGUGGCCUAACCUUUAUGGAGGGAGCCGCCUAAGGCGGGACAGAUGACUGGGGUGAAGUCGUAACAAGGUAAC
rnacentral:rRNA from 1 species